UACGUAGGAUGCAAGCGUUGUCCGGAAUUAUUGGGCGUAAAGAGUUCGUAGGUGGUUAUCUAAGUCUGGUGUUAAAGACGGGAGCUCAACUCCCGCAUGGCAUCGGAAACUGGAUGGCUAGAGUGUGGAAGAGGUAACUGGAAUUCCUGGUGUAGCGGUGAAAUGCGCAGAUAUCAGGAGGAACACCUGUGGCGAAAGCGAGUUACUGGUCCAUUACUGACACUGAGGAACGAAAGCCAGGGUAGCAAAAGGG
rnacentral:rRNA from 1 species